UACGUAGGUGGCGAGCGUUAUCCGGAUUUACUGGGUGUAAAGGGCGCGUAGGCGGUUGUGUAAGUCUGAUGUAAAAGCCCGCAGCUUAACUGCGGAGAUGCAUUGGAAACUGCAUAACUAGAGUAGAUGAGGGGAAACUGGAAUUUCUAGUGUAGGGGUGAAAUCUGUAGAUAUUAGGAAGAACACCAAUGGCGAAGGCAAGUUUCUGGCAUCAAACUGACGCUGAGGCACGAAAGCGUGGGUAGCAAAC
rnacentral:rRNA from 1 species